CCUACGGGUGGCAGCAGUGAGGAAUAUUGGUCAAUGGCCGAGAGUCUGAACCAGCCAAGUAGCGUGAAGGAUGACAGCACUAUGGGUUGUAAACUUCUUUUAUAAGGGAAUAAAAUGCCCGACGUGUGCGGUCUUGUAUGUACCCGAUGAAUAAGCAUCGGCUAACUCCGUGCCAGCAGCCGCGGUAAUACGGAGGAUGCGAGCGUUAUCCGGAUUGAUUGGGUUUAAAGGGUGCGCAGGCGGGUCUUUAAGCCAGCGGUGAAAUCGGGGGGCUCAACCGAACCGUGCCGUUGGAACUGGGGGCCUUGAGUGCGGCGGAGGUAUGCGGAAUUCGUGGUGUAGCGGUGAAAUGCUUAGAUAUCGCGCAGAACCCCGAUUGCGAAGGCAGCGUGCCGGGCCGACACUGACGCUGAGGCUCGAAAGCGCGGGUAUCGAACAGGAUUAGAUACCCGAGUAGUC
rnacentral:rRNA from 1 species